CCGUUUGUUCCCUGUUGGACCCCUGAGGGUUUGGUAUGAACCCUGUAAUUUGACGAUCAUCUGCUCUUACAAUGCAGAUGUUAAUUGCACAUAACACUAGGGACUUUAAUAUCAGAGCAAAGCCCAACGAGAGGGAACUGACCCACCAUAUUAGUAUCAUUUGUCUUCAUGAUGCAACUAAAUAAGCACAAUGGUCAAAAUCAAAUGAUGCAGAGGCCCAACUGUCCUUAAGAAUCAGAGAAAUACACGAGGUGAGUUUCUUCAUAUCUCUAGAGCAAAAGAUAUGAAGUCCAAAUUCCAGUGGCCCAGCAGGGGAAGGAUGGCAUCCAAAGGAAGGUGUGGGCAGUGUCAGCACGUGGGGAACACCACAGGGGUCACUGCCAUUUCCGCCUCCCUUGAAUGUCUUAGCAAAUACAGCAAAGUUCUGCCUUGGUACACAGACAGGACUUGAAGUAUCUGUUCUUUCAUUCAUUCAUUCAACAUUGCAUAUUGGUCUUGGGGCGAAAUAAAAGAAAGAUGAAGUUCUCGAUCUAGCGAUGCUUUCAGUUUGGUGGGGAAAACAGACACGUAAACAAGUAAACACAUAAAACAGGUGGUAACCAUUAACAUAGAUACGAUGCGCUAUGGGAAAACUGAGGCGAGAAAUCAGUUGUUUUGACUGCGGGCCUCUGGGAAGGUAUUUUCCAGACGAUGACAGCUGCACUGGGCCUUCCAGGUGAGUAAAAAAGCCACCGUGUAAAAGCUUUUGAAUUUUGUUCUUGGUUUAUGACGAUAGGAAAUGAAGAGGUGAAAUGGCUUUGCUUCUUCUAAUCUGCAGUGGGCAUCCUAAGUCCUCUCUAGGGGUGACAGGCUCCAGGGAGAGUUUUUGGCACCAGGACCGUUUUGCGGGAGGCAAUUUUUCCACAGACCAGCGGGCAGCAGGGGGGAGCGGGGAGGAUGGUUUCAGGAUGAUCCAAGCGCAGUACAUUCAAGCUCACCUCCUGCUGUGCGGCCCGGUUCCUAACAGGCCAGGAUCAGUACUGGUCAAUGGCCUGGGGGUCUGGGACCCCUGCUGUACAGCACCUUUUCUGUGUCUGAUUUUUGAAAGCCUAGAGUGCUCCACAGCACAAGAUACAAUGAGAGGUGGGAAAAUUCCUUUGAAAAACAGUGUGUGACCCACAUGAAACGUGCAACUCCAUAGAGAGUUAAGAAAAGUGAAUCUGAUUUGAAUGAAUCACACAGGCACCUCUACAUGGUAAACACCUGCCACGUGCCCCAACCUUUUAUGCCUUCAAUGGCAUUUUUCUCAUGAUCUCAUUUAAUUUUCUCAGCCACCCCAAGAAGGGCUAGUUCUGUUUUGAUGAGGAAGAAGCCUGGACCUGCUAAACCUUUACCCAAAACUGGAAUAAAUGACCAGGUUUCCAGAUUCCCCCCACCCCCCGCUACUGACCGAGCACUCAUGGACGUGCCCCUUUGCAAGCCUGGGUCCAGUGAUUUGGACUGCCAAACCCUUUUCAGAGAAGCAGGAGAGGCAGCCUUCAUUUCUGGCCACGUAACCCAAUAGGAUGCCAGAAUCUGUGUCCAGCAGCAAUUCUGCACUUCAGGGGGAGUUCUCCUGGUAAACUAACUCCUUUCCAAAGGGCACGCCUCCUCAGUUCAGCCCUCCCACAGCUCUGUCACAUGCUUUAAGGAGACAGAAUUUACGUUCCUGUGUCUAUGGUGUGAGGCACUUAGAAAUGAAAGGGUUAGGAAUGUCCAGCCUGCCUCAGCCUCGAGGUUUACGAAAAACUUCAUUCUGUUCAGUUUAUAAACUAUGGAGCUUCCGGAGCCACGCUACUCCCUGGGUAGCCUGGAUAAACGCUGAGGAUGCUGGCUUGGAAGACACGCGUUUGGAAUGCUUGGCUUUCAUGGUUACAUAGGAAGAAUUACAGGUUCUUUUUUAAAAGGGGGAGUAGCAGGAAGGAAGAGCAUCCGAGAGCAACACGAUCUAUAUCACAACUUGCAUCCAAGGCUCCUUAACUGCAGUGUCUCAUCUU